GUAUGUUUUCGGUUUUUUUUUCCAUAUAUUUUGAUGAUAUAAUCGUUUUUUUGUUCUUGAUAGAUCUAAAAUUCGUCAAACAAUGAACGAAUCGUCUACAUCUUUGAGGAUUACCAGAGGGUCUUUGGGAAAAUCAAAACAACUUAUACAAGAACAAACCAUGGAAGAGCUGAGAUCAAAGAAAAAAAACGA